rnacentral:lncRNA from 1 species
UCCAAUGGCAAGAAUUCAUCUCUACCUCCUCUAAAGAGGAAAAGUUGAAAAGAAUGCUCAAUGGCAAGAAUUCAUCUCUACCUCCCCUAAAGAGGAAAAGUUGAAAGAAAAUUUUGAAAAGAAUGUCCAAUGCCAAGAAUUCAUCUCUACCUCCCCUAAAGAGGAAAAGUUAGAAAGGAAAUUAAAAAAAAAAUGCCCAAUGGCAAGAAUUCAUCUCUACCUCCCCUAAAAAGGAAAAAUUGAAAGGAAAUCUUAGAAAGAAUGCCCAAGGGCAAGAGUUGAUUCCACCUCCCCUAAAGAGGAACGAAAAUAUGUUGAAAAAAUGCCCAAUGGCAAAGUUGGCUCCACGAGUGUUCUUUGGAUUGCCCAAUGGCAAAUCUGGUUCUACCUUACCUAAAGGUGAGUGUUCUUUAGAUUGCUCAAUGGCAAGUCCGGCUCUAAAUCACCCAAUGGUGACGGUUAUACUCUAAAAAAAAAAAAAUUAUUAUUAUCGUUGACAGUGUGCAAUGCUGGAAUAUUUUGUCCUUAUAGUUUUUACAAAAUUGAUAUUUUUUAUCUUUGACAAGUUACAAGGUUGCAGGGCUGAAGCAUUUUGAAUUUACUAUGUUGCCGAGUGAAGACAUCUCGUCUUAAGCGAGUGAGGAGUUAAAAUAUCAUGGCUGACAAUCAAAGGUCACAAAGCAACAAGAAAUUCGUCAGAAACACUCAUUUAUUGUUGACUAGGGGGGGAGUAGCUGAUGAGGAGUAAACUCUGCAUCAACUCUACGCAAUUAACAUGACUAAAAUCUUUAUUUUAUAUUAUUAUUAUUGACACAAUUAUUACUAUUAUUUCAAAUAUUUUGUGCAGCGCUAAUUUGACAGGGCUGACUUUAUCAAUCGGGAAUUAUAUGGGCAGCUCAACGACUCGGCUUCAAGCUCAAGACUCAUGUAAUAAGGGCUUAGGCCCAAUUAUUUAGAUUAAUGGGCUUUAGAGGUCAAAUGGGCCAAGCUCACUUAAUAGCAUAUAAAUAGGGCUUUUUCAUUAUUUACUCACAAGUUAGUCAAGGAAGUUAAGUUAGAAAAGUUAAUCAUUCUUUCAAUUCUCAAGUUGUAAAUGUAAACACUCUCCAAGAAUAUAGUGAAACACACCAAAAAUCUACCGUGGAUGUAGAUCUAACGAUCGAACCACGUAAAUCCUCGAGUCAUUUAUCGUUUUAUAGUUAGAUGUUGAUGUUUGAUUCAUCAACUUUAGUCAACUACCCUUAUAUUUCACCCACAACACAUUUUUCAGCUUUCUUAGUCUCCGUGCCACCCUCAAAUGGGGCUUUAGUUGGUGGACUUAUGAACUUAUUUUAUAAUUACUAACCAAACUCUGCUGCAGGAUACGAAUGAGACCUUCCAACGUGCCUGUUGAUCCCUGUACCGACCCCAUCAUACUUAUAAUAACAUAUUAUUUCAUCCUAAACACGCAUACAUAAAAUUCACUUAAUCAUACUUAAUUUAACAAAAUUAUCUAAUAUAGAUAAAUUAAUCUAAUUAAUUAAAAUUAAUCUAAUUAAUUAAAAUUAAUCAUGCUUCAUAAUUAAUUAUACUAAAAAUUAAUUAAAAUUAAUUUAAUUAGUAUUAAUUUUAAUCUAACAAAAUAAUAGUAAAUAAAUAAAAAGACAAGAGCGAGAGCUUACGUACGAUGAUUUAAAGCUCAACUCAAUAAUAAUAUACCAAACUUGAAUUGAAGAAUAUUCAAAUUCCACCAAAAUUGCAUGUGGUGCUUGCACACGAACGUACGACGACUUUGCAUUGACCCACAAGCUUACAAAUGCCAACUAUAUAUAACACCAUCAAUUACCGAGUAAUGCAAGUUGAAUUUUAUGAAGAUGAGUUGUGAAAUGCAAACCACACAAUACAUGUAUAUAUACAUAAUAUCUGUGUUUCAUUAUUGGUCUUCAAAGAAAAAGAAAAUCUGUGUUUCAUUAUUGAAUCAACACCUUCCCAAACAGCAUGUAAGUUAUAUUGAGUGUAUAUUCCCCUGAAGAUAUAUUACUUGCUCUCGAAACCAACCAGUAGCUACUUACUGCUUAGUACUACUUCAUCCACUGCCAAUCAUGUUCAAGUAAGUUUGCUCUAUCUAUUUUCAAUAAACACACUUUUUUUAGCAAUUGUUAUCUUCACAAUUUGAUUAACGUUCAACGGAAUUAUUGAUGUAUAUGUUGAACGGAUUUGAUGAAUGUUCAUCAAAUCUGUUGGACAUGGCGUGAAUAAAUGCUGAUUUUUUGGGAAUUGUGGGAUUCGACUCUGAUAUGUUCAACAAAAAAUUUGUUGAACAUGACGUGAAUAAUGGUGAUCGUUAGAUUAGAUAAAAUAAUGACUGAAAUUUGGUCUAUGUUCUUUGAAUACUUAGUGGUUUUCAUUAAACUCUUCCCUAUAUAUGUAUAGAGGAUAGGAUUAACAUAGAAACCCCUCUUAAGAAUAAAACUAAGAACUAUUUUACAGCGUUAAUUGAUAGGAUCAAAAUUGAUGGCCAAGAUUAAUUCUUUUUUUCACGGGGAUUGAUGAUUAGUGACCUAAUUAUGAGAAAGGGUAAAAAAGUGAAAUUGUAUUUUACAGUAUUCAUUCGCUCCGUAAAAUUGCCACUUCCAUCAAAAAGUUUAAUUCUUUAAUUCUUCUAGGAUUUUCUCGAAAAAUCAAUUUCAAUGAACAAGAAAGAUUGGAGGUUUUAAGUGUUGACUACUAGAUUUUUUAAUUUUAUUAAUUAGUAUAUUUCUAAGUGUUGACUACUAGAUUUUUGUUUAAGAAAUCAUAUGUGAAAAUAUUUUAUUUUCUUAUUUUGUUAAAUUUGUUUUAAAAAUUAAAACACUUGAGACGAAAUGUAACUCUUAUAUACUCGUUAACUCAAUAUACAUAGUAUACAUUUAUCGGUGCAACUUCAAUAUAAGUUGUGACCCAUGUUAUGAAUACUGAAUAUCUAUCGGUUGAGAUAGAGACUGCUAUUUCUCUCGUAAUUGUUGUCCACAACAUGUGGUAUGCAUAAGUUCUCUUCUAGUCUGUAAAUGGAUAUAUACUCCUGCCAAUUAAAUCUAGUUUUUUUUUUUUUUUGGUCUAUCAAAAUUGUUUGAUCAUAUUUAUGUGAAACACAUCAAAAUCAUAUAUUUUGGUGUGAUUCUAUCUUUACAGCACAACGCAAGCCUGCUGCGCUAGCUUGAAUGAAAAACUGACGAAACUGACGCGGGGGCAGAAUCAGAAUGCACAAUCUACAGAGUUCAAAAAUUUACGGAACGUAACCCCAAUGCUUACGACCCGAGGUGAUGCUAUUGGUCCUUAUCACGCAACAAGGAUCAUCUAAAAAUGAUGGAAGAUACAAGCUACGUUACUUCCAGCACUCAUCAAAGGAAACCUUCCAACAUGUGGAAAGCUACGCAGCAUGUGUGGGCAGAUUGGAAGCCGAAGCAAGAAAAUGUUACGCAGAUGAGCCUACAAGCCUGAGCCCAAGCGAUUCAUACAAAUGCUUGUACUAGAUGGAUGCUUCAUCUUGAGUUAUUAUUACUGAAGGCGCAUGGUGUCCCUGAGGAGAGAAUGAUCCCAUCUUCCAAUGGCUGGAUGAUUAUUAGCCUGCAGCGCGAUUUAAUGCUCUUCGAGAAUCAACUCCCAUUCUUCGUCUUGUGCGAGCUGUUGACUGAUUGAGGUCCCGGCCGCAUAGUAGGUUGCGGACCUUCUCCUGCAAUUCUUACGUCUGUAUCCUGGGAAGGCUACAGAGGAGAAGGAGCGUAGCUCCUCGUGAGGUGAAGCAUUUGCUUCACUUCAUCCAUCGUAUUGGCUUCCCCGCGCACGGGCACGGGCUCGGGCGGGAGGAAGGAACAGGUAAGGGUUGCAGUUCAAAAAUUAGCGCACAGGCUUAAGAGGCUAAUGUCAGGUUCGAGAAUCCAGCCAGGCUGCGUUGUCGACGUGAGGUUCGAAAACGGGGUGAUGACCAUGGCGCUUCUGGUCAGGACAGGACGAGUCGUUCCUCCGGAAUCUCGUCGCGUACGAGCAGUACUUUGGGCACGAUCAGGACAAUUCGUGACGGAUUAUUCACAUUCUGAUGCCUUGUUGAUUCCUCCAAGGAUGUGGAGAUACUGUCGCGCAACGGAAUCGUGGAGAACUGGUGGGCGAGAGGAAGCCGUGGCGAAGAUGGUGAACAAGCUGGUGAAUCGGUGGUGGCCCUCAGCUUCAUUAUGCGGAGAUGCUUGAGAAUGUGGAAAGCAUUGCAGGAAAAGAAGGAAUAGGUGGAUGGCCACGUUGAGGCGUACUUAUUUAAGUAGUCCUUGGCUUAUUAUGUCUCUACUUGUGGUGAGUGCUGCUUCUGCUCCAUCACGCAAACAGUGUUUACCAUAUUACAGGUGGUUUGAAUUAGAAGAGCGACUCACCAUUUCUGCUCUAUCACAUGUAGCGAUGCCGCCUCCAUCUCCCCUCUCCUUAUGUCUCUCUCUCUCUCUCGCUCCCUCUUUCCCGUUCGUCCUCUCUAUUGCCGGAACAGGACGCCGACUGCUCCCUCUGGACUCUAGCCUCUCUCGGCGGCGCUGACGAAUACACUGCCGCCUCUCGGCCCUCCGAUCGACUGCGUGGCGGCACAUCUUCUCCAGCCACGCAAUUUUGGGGGCUAGGGCUAGGGCUGCGAUCGAAGGGCACCGACGAUGCUUCUCACUCUCCUCUUUUUCUGUUCUUUUGAACACUUAAAAUUCUUGGUUUGCAUGUUGAGAGACGAAUUUGGUUUGAAUUGAUUUUUUGGUGAAAAUUGGAUUGAGGAAAUUAGAACAUAAAAUGGUUUUGGAACAGGAAAUUGGUGAAAAUUGGAAAUUGGAACAUGAAUUUGCAUGUUGACCGCUGACGACGCCUUUGCCGGAGAAGAAGGUGAAUGGCAGCCAACAAUCAUCCCCUCGCGUCUUAAUUUACUCAUUAACACACUCAAUUAAAACAUAACAAUGAAUUUCUUAAUUUUCGUGCCGAAAAGAAUGUGGUCAACAAUAAUGGGACGAAGGGAGUAGUAAAUAUAGGAAAAGAAUGGGAGUAAAAAAGUACAAAAAAUAGAAUAUGACUCUAAUUUUUUAUAUAAUCUAAAAACUAGAAAGUCCAUUCGUGCGAUGCACGACGAACAUCGAAAUUAAAUGACAUAUUUAAAUAAUAAUAAAAAUAUUAAAUAGAAUUAAAUAAUCCACAUCAAUUACUCAAUAACCUCUUGAAUUUGAAACAUAUAUUUUCAACUUUGUAUAAAAUAUAAUGAUAAAUAUAGUUAUAAUAUAAAUUUAAAUUAUUUGAUAAUGAAAAUUGACAUUACACAUAAUAAUAAUAAUAAUAAUAAUAUUAUUAUUAUUAUUAUUAUUAUUAUUAUUAUUAUUAUUAUUAUUAUUAUUAUUAUUAUUAUUAUUAUUAUAUUAUUAAUUUACUAUACAAUAAUAAUAAAUAAAAGUUAAGUAAAUUGUUAAUGAAGAGAGAAAAAAUAUAAUAUAUUUAAUUUUAAUUUUUUCAUUUUAAAUUCAUUUUUGAUAAUUGUUUUGUACCAUAUUAAAGAUCUUUUCACCAACUUAAAUUUAAGAAGUAGUAGCAAAUUAAGUACUUCAUGAAUUAAAUUUGAUGAUGUUUAGAAAAUAAAAUUAAAGAAAAAAAUAGAGAGANNNNNNNNNNNNNNNNNNNNNNNNNNNNNNNNNNNNNNNNNNNNNNNNNNNNNNNNNNNNNNNNNNNNNNNNNNNNNNNNNNNNNNNNNNNNNNNNNNNNNNNNNNNNNNNNNNNNNNNNNNNNNNNNNNNNNNNNNNNNNNNNNNNNNNNNNNNNNNNNNNNNNNNNNNNNNNNNNNNNNNNNNNNNNNNNNNNNNNNNNNNNNNNNNNNNNNNNNNNNNNNNNNNNNNNNNNNNNNNNNNNNNNNNNNNNNNNNNNNNNNNNNNNNNNNNNNNNNNNNNNNNNNNNNNNNNNNNNNNNNNNNNNNNNNNNNNNNNNNNNNNNNNNNNNNNNNNNNNNNNNNNNNNNNNNNNNNNNNNNNNNNNNNNNNNNNNNNNNNNNNNNNNNNNNNNNNNNNNNNNNNNNNNNNNNNNNNNNNNNNNNNNNNNNNNNNNNNNNNNNNNNNNNNNNNNNNNNNNNNNNNNNNNNNNNNNNNNNNNNNNNNNNNNNNNNNNNNNNNNNNNNNNNNNNNNNNNNNNNNNNNNNNNNNNNNNNAUAUUUAAUAAAUUAGUGAACUUCAAAUAAAAGAUUAAAAAUAAAAGCACAUAAUAAUAAUAAUAAUAAUAAUAAUAAUAAUAAUAAUAAUAAUAAUAAUAAUAAUAAUAAUAAUAAUAAUAAUAAUAAAUAAAUUAAUUAAUAUUUUCAUACACAAAUAUAAAUAAAAAGUUGUAAAAAUGUUAAUGAAGAGAGAAAAAAUAUAAUAUAUUUAAUUUUAAUUUUUUCAUUUUAAAUUCAUUUUUGAUAAUUGUUUUGUACCAUAUUAAAGAUCUUUUCACCAACUUAAAUUUAAGAAGUAGUAGCAAAUUAAGUACUUCAUGAAUUAAAUUUGAUGAUGUUUAGAAAAUAAAAUUAAAGAAAAAAAUAGAGAGAAAAAUGAAGGAAAAUAUUGGAGGGAAAAAUUAUGUCUCUAAAGAUAUAAAUUUUUAAUUGAUUGAUUAUUUUCACAAUUAUCAAUUACCUUCAAAAUUAAAAUUUAGGAAGGACGGGUACGUAUUUUAGGACAAAGUUAUUGAGUAUAUUGGAAGUGGUGAAAAUGUGAAAAGUAAAGAUAAAUGAGAUAUAUAUUAGGGUUAAUAGCCGAAAAAUACACGAACUUUCACGAAAUUUGCAAAUUGCACAUGAGCUUCAAAAAUAGCCCCAGAAUACAUCACCUUUUAAUUUUAUUGUAAAUUGCACACGGGGAGAACUCCGGCCAUAAUUAAAGUUGACCGGCAAUGACGUGUAGUCCACGUAGCAUUUUUAUUGUAGGUGGCAAUACGCGUGGCAUUUUUAUUGAUCUGGCAUUACACGUGUCAUUUUUAUUAAAAAAGAAAUUUAAAAAAAUGAAAGAAUGAUGAAGAACGAUGAACAACCGGUCCACCGCCUUCGUCGAUGCGGUCUGAGUCCGGCCACCACCAUUUUCUCUCUCCACCACCACCGUUUUCCCUCUCCUCCACCACUGUUUUCCGUCAUCUCCACCACCACCACCAUCACAAAAAUCUCCACCGCCUUCUUCGAUUUGAUCUAUUGAAAGAUUUGGGGAAGGGUUUGAUUUGAUCGGAGUUGGCCCAUUUCCACCGCCCGCUGCCCUCCCUCUUCCCCGUGAUUUCCGCCGCCCCGCCGCCCUCCCUCUUCCCCCGCGACUUCCGCGCCCCCGCCGCCCUCCCUCUUCCCCCGCGACUUUGCGCCGCCUCGCACUCUGCAAACCCUCCUCCUUCAUCGACCUCCCAACCACUCGAUUUUAGAAAUUGCAGAGCAGCGAUUUUAGAACCCCAAACAAGCAAACAAACAAAAGGGGGAAACCCCCAGAUCUGGCGGCGGCGGCGGCGAGGAGGAAGAGGAGUUGGGAUUUGGUGUUUGUUGUUACUACUUUCUUCUCUCUUGCUCUUGUUCAACAUGGAGCAACAAAGAUUAGCACCGAUUAUCUUUUCGGACCAGAUCCAACGGCGGCCAUCCCUGAAAAUCCGUCCCCUUCAAUACCAUCGGAGUAGACGAAGCCGCUGGCGGCGGCGAUGCAGAGGAUCUGGCCGUCCUUUUGAGGACAAAGGAGACACAACGGUAGGAGGCAGCGUCUGCGUCGACUUAGCUCGCCGGAGAUGGAGAAACAGUGACGCGAAGAGAGGAAGGAGAAGGGGAGACGUGAAUGAGAAGAAGGGAGGCGCCGGAGAUGGUGUGCAGGGGGUGCGGCGGCUGGGAGUGAUAAGGGAGGCGCCGCAUAUGUUUUCCUCUCAUUUUUUUUUUAAUUAGACUCAGUCAAAACGACAUCGUUUUAAGUGUAGAAUAUAACUACAAAAACGAUAUCGUAUCAUUUGAACGCCGGAGUGUCCACGUCGGCAAAUUCCGGGAGCCAUGUCAACACCGAUUAAUGUGUUGGUCAACGCAUGUGCAAUUUACGAUAAAAUCAAAAGUUGAUGUAUUCUGAGGCCAUUUUUGAAGCUCAUGUGCAAUUUGCAAAUUCGGGCAAACUUCGUGUAUUUUUUGGCUAUUAACCCUAUAUAUUAAUAGUGGUAGGAUAGUGUCCCAAAAUGAAUAGGAAAUUAUUUAGGGGACGAUCCAAAAAUUCAAAAUGAGAUAUAUAUUAAUAGUGAUUGAGUAUGUCGAGCAUUAGUGCAUUUUCUCAUAAAAUUUGAUUGCUGGACUCGCAGUGGUUGAAAAUGUCGAGCAAUUUACUAUUGCAUUUAGCACUAAUGCUCGACUAGCAAAGGUUGAGCAUUAGUGUAUUUACCACAAAUGCACUGAUGCUCGACAUGCUCAAAUUGCAGUGGUCGAGGAUUAAUGCAUUUACCACUAAUGCUUGACUUGUAUUCAUCGAGCAUGUCGAGCGAGGUUUGCGAUUUGAGUAAUAUAGAACGACAAUAUGAUUAUUUCAAACUCAAAAUGGGUAGUUUUUAUAAUUUUAUUUUAUAGAUGUUUUUUGUUUUUGUCUUUGAGAGUGUGUAAAAGCUGCCAUUAACCCAACUUUUUUAGGGUAUAUAUAUUUAUAAAAAAAGUAUGAGAGAAAACGAAGAUAUUCUUUUAAAUGCAAAAGGAAAUAAUUAUUUACGGGUCAUAAUGAUAUUAAUUAGAUAGUGAGUUAUGUAAGGACGUUUCUUAUGUAUUGAUUUUCAAUAUAGUGGUUUAUUGAAAUGAGACGUUCAAAUAAAAAAAUGUGGUCUUUUUAAUUGGGUCGGAGGAAUAAUUUAUUUUUUUAAAUACUUAUAAAGUUUAUUUGGGGUCGAUUAAGUUUGUGAAUCUCAAAUUACAAUACAAAAAAUCAUGUAAUUACAGGCGGCGUUUGCCGUCGGUAAUAAUAGUACGACCGUCGGCGGCAUUAGCGGUGGCCGGUCGCCGCCGCUAAAUUGCUCGUCGGUGAUUCGAAUAGCGGCGGCAAACGACCGCCACCGCGAAAUAACGGCGCCACCGUUGUCGUUAACUGUCGACAUUGAUUGGCGCAGGCACCAAAAUUUUAACGGCGGCGACUGUCGUCGCUAAUUAGCGGCGGCGCCACCGCCGUCGGUAAUAUUGACUGGACGGCGGUGGCACCAGUCGCCGAAUCGGCGAUGUUCGCUGGACGGUUUGCCGUCGCUAAUUAGCGCCGGCGCCAUCGCUGCCGGUAAAUUUUUAUAUUUAUUUAUUUAUACCCCACAAGUAUUUUCGUAUUUAUACAGUAGUGCAUACGUUAGACGAACUUCCCAGUCGAUCACCCAUCUUAAUUGUGCUCUAAGUCAAGCACGCUUAACCUUAAAAUUCAUUUCGAGUGGUCACCAGUACAGAACACUCGUAUUAUUGAUAUAUCCAGUACAUAUUAAUUCAUUUAAACUCUAUUUCAAUAUACAAUAUCAUAUAUUGAUAACCGUAGAAUAUAUCGAGAUGAUAUCCAAGAGAUGUCGUUAAUUACUGAUUGAUCUCGUUUCCAUCCUUAUUUUUAUGUCGAUUUAUUAUUAUUAUUAUUAUUAUUAUUAUUGUUAUUAUUAUUAUUAUCAAUCUAGUUUAUAUACAAUAAGUAUUUUAAUGUGGUUUUGUAAUGUAUUUUGAAUUCAAUUGAAGAGUGAUUAGUGAAGAUUCUACUUAAGAAUCUUGUCAAGAUUCUUCAAUUGAAAAGUGAUUAGUUGGGAUUCUACUUAAGAUUCUUGAUUUCAAACAAUAUUAGUGAAGUUUCUUGUUAAGAUUAUUCAAUUGAAGAGUGAUUAGUGAAGAUUUUACUUAAGAUUCUUGAUUCCAAACUAGAUUAGUGAAGUUUCUUGUUGAUUAUUCAAUUGAAGAAUGAUUAGUUGCUGAAAUAGAAAUUUUAUUGAAAAAGAAAAGAUCAAAACCCUUCAAAGCACAAGCGCAGACUAAGGGCCGAGCCUCCAAAAAGAGAGCUCAAACGAAAGAAAACUACAAAGCAACGAAAAAACCAAAACAACACUAAGAGAAGAAUUGAUCGUCCUCGUAGAACGAGUCGUCGUCAUCCAGCAUAUCUCCCCAUCUCUUAGAAACUACAGCUGACAUAGCUCGAGCAGCGUCUGAAGAAGAAGAACGAACCACAAGCGCUCCUCCAGACUGAGCAUUUGGCACUUUAUUCAAGAACUCCACUGGCAACGGAGUGUCAAGAACGGCGCCCUUAUUCCUGAGCCGAUUUUUGAUACUGUCAAUCGGAUUCGGCGGAUCUUGCGUACGUUCCAUACCCUUUUUAGGUCGACCCGGUCGACGCUUAGGGUUGUCAACGAGCAUUUGCAUCCCCUGACUGACCUGCUCCUCUAAUUUGCUAAUACGACUAGCCAACUCCUCCUGAAUAGAAUGUGUAGGCUCAAUGACCGACCGAGAUGCAGAAACAUCUACCAUGUCCAUGGACGGAACGACGGCCGACUGUAUACCCUCAGACCCGGCCGUGUCCUCCCUCUGUGGUCGCUUUGCCGAGCUUGCGGCCUCGCGAUCGUCAGCAAUGAUCUCCUCAUCCACGGAUCUGUCAGAAUCCUCCAAAACAACCGUGUCCUCCUUGCAGGCUUGAGCGACUUCAUUCUGUAACUCCAUACCCUCCAGCACCUCAAACCGAUUUCUGUUUUCCACAGAAGCCUUCCCAACAGUAACAUCACCUCUGGGCGAAGACUCCUCAUGAUUAUCCAUCUUAGCAGCAGAAGGCGCCGCGUGCUGUCGAGAACGGCUCCUAAUUUUCUUCCAGUGUCGAGAUCUAUUGCUAUGCUUCCUGCCCCGCAAACUAUUAUCCUGUACUUUCUGUUUAGUCGGAGAGGCAGGCUCCAUGCCCGAUUUCCUGCAGUCAUCAGUGGCAUGGCAAUUGAAGAAUGAUUAGUGAAGAAUCUUGUUAAGAUUAUUCAAUUGAAGAGUGAUUAGUUGGGAUUCUACUUAAGUUUCUUGUUGAGAUUCUACUUAAGAUUUUUGAAUUCAUUUGCAUACGUUGAAUUCAAUCACAAUAAAUAGGGAAUAGAGAGCAAGGUAAGUGCAAUGUUGUUUGAAAACAUGAAAUAAAAGUGCAAGUUUAAUUUUGUUCCAGAAUAUGAAAUAAAUAGUUCAACCAAAUAUAAAUACGUAGAAGUGCUGCCAAGGUAGCUGGCCCGACCGCCUCAGUAUCUCCUCGAACAUAGCUAUCCGCUGCUUAAAAAGCUCACGUGCUGCUUGUUCGACCUCAAGUGCUGCUCGCUCGGCCUCACGUGCUGCUAAUUCUGCAGCCCUGUCCUCGUCAGCCUUCCGCAGCCGCUUCUCCAGCGUGGAGAUCCGUGUCUCAUACAACUGUUGAGACAUCCUGGAAGCGCCAGUGCUGCGAGUAGACCCUUUACUAACCUGGCUCCGACCGGCACUUCCAGUGCCGUAGAGCCGUGAACUGUUGGGCUGUACGACCUCCAAGUAGAUCUCAUCCAACCGAUUCUCACGUCCAGUCUCAACAGCAAUGCGACGAAUCUCCGCCUAAUUCAUACAUAACAAUGCAUAAUUGUUAGAAAAUAAAUGCAUUUCACUAUGUAUUAAUAUUUUGAUUAAACUUAAACACUUACAUCUAGUCUCUCAUCCUUCGUUGACAAAAAAGUUCCAUCCUCGCGCAUGUGGAGGCGGAGGAAGGUGCUAUAGUUCUGUGCAGCCGGGGGGAGUCCAGUCUUCAAGCUCUGUUCAUGCAUGUAUAUAAGAUAAAAUAUAUAGGGGGCCGCUCCAAUGAGACCCUUAAUUUUAAUGAGAUCUAGGGCACGAUCUGAUGCGUUUAUUUUAUCAAUUCUAUGGUUGAUACUGUAUCUGGAGGGAUAAUUUUUUUCGCAGGGUUCGAAUCUUGGAGGGAGCAAAAUAUUUUAAAUUUUGUUAUUCAUCAGUAUAUACUGCGUUGUUCAUCAGUAUAUAAUGCCUUGUUCAUUACCAAUUUUUUAAAUUUUACUUUUCAUCAGUAUAUACAUCUUGUUCGUUAGAUAUACGUCUUGUUCAUUAAUAUUAUAUUUCUUAUUCAUUGUCCUCAGUGUUACACGAAAAAUAGGGGGUAGCGUGCCCUUAUAUAGGGCCGCUCCAAUGAGACCCCCUAAUUUUAAUGAGAUUUAUGGUACGAUCUGAUGCAUUUAUUUUAUCAAUCCUAUGGCUGAUAUUGUAUCCGGAGGGUGAUUUUUUUUCCGCAGGUUUCGAAUCCUGGAAGAAGCAGAAUAUUUUAAAUUUUAUUAUUUAUCAGUAUAUACUGCAUUGUUCGUCAGUAUAUAUGUCUUAUUCAUUACCAAUUUUUUAAAUUUUAUUUUUCAUCAGUAUAUACAUCUUAUUCAUUAGUAUUAUAUGUCUUAUUCAUUAUCUUCAUGUUACACGAAAAAUUAGAGGUCUCAUUGGAGCGCGCCCCUAUAUAUAUAUAUAUAUAUAUAUAUAUAUAUAUAUAGAGAGAGAGAGAGAGAGAAAGGGGUUCAACAGAGAAGAUAAAUAUUGUGGAGAAUAGAGAUCUCGUAAAUAAAAACAAACAGAUCUAUAAUUUUAAUGAACAGAUCAAUGUACCACAUGAACAGCAAUUUGCCCCGGGUUCGAAUCCUGCUGGUGGCGAGUUUUUCUUUAUUUUUACUAAAUUCGACUGUUCAUUACUUAUGUUGAUCUAUUCGUAAAAUGAAUAGAUUUGUUCAUAAUGAAUAAAAAGAUAAUUCUCUAUUGAACUCAACCCUAUAUAUAUAUAUUGUCGAAUGGUAAAAUAUGGAGACAUAGAAGAGGAAGAAUAGUUUAUUAUGUUCAGUGUGUAAAAUACCAGUGACCUCCCGCAUAUAUAUAGGGGAAAACUAGGGCUACAACAUAAAUAAAGAAAAUUAAAUACUCCUACAAAAUAUUCUUGAACACUCCCCCUCAAGCUGGAACAUAUAUAUCGAUCAUGUCCAACUUGGUGCAAAGUUCAGAAAAUCAUUUUCCGCACAACGGUUUAGUGAAAAUAUCAUCAACUGGUUGGACGAAGAAGUGAAAGGAGUAGCAAUAGUCUUACUCAAGACACACUCACGAAUGAAAUGACAGUCAACCUCAAUAUGUUUANCAAAGAAAUGAGAAGUAAUCUCAGCCAUUGAUCUUAUUUAAUCUAACGACUGAGAUUGAUUUGCGCCAUGUUCAACGAAAAUUUGUUUUGAACAUGAACAACCAUCGAACCCCCCAGCCCCCAAAAGUUCAUGACAUGUUUAACUGUUUCUCUAUUUUUCUACUGAUAUAUUCAUGACAUGCUCAAUGCUUCUCAAUUCUCUACUUUAUUUUGCUUCUCCAUAGAAACUAACCAUAUAUCCGUCCACGAAUUAAAGCCCUACUUGCACUUAAAUUUUUGUCCACCAAUUAAAGCCCCAUUGUGCUUUUUGUACUCUUUUACUCUUCUUCUUUUCCUAUAUUUACUACCCUUUGUCACUAAUGGACCCACCUUACAACAACUUUAUCAUUUUUAUAUUCUAUAUUUAUUACACUUUAUCACUAGUGGACCCACCACACAACACCUUUAAGACUUUAGUCAACUACUUUAUCACUUUUGAUGAGGAGUAAACUCUGCAUCAACUCUACGCAAUUAACAUGACUAAAAUCUUUCUUUUAUAUUAUUAUUAUUGACACAAUUAUUACUAUUAUUUCAAAUAUUUUGUGCAGCGCUAAUUUGACACGGCUGACUUUAUCAAUCGGGAAUUAUAUGGGCAGCUCAACGACUCGACUUUAAGCUCAAGACUCAUGUAAUAAGGGCUUAGGCCCAAUUAUUUAAAUUAAUGGGCUUUAGAGGUCAAAUGGGCCAAGCUCACUUAAUAGCAUAUAAAUAGGGCUUUUUCAUUAUUUACUCACAAGUUAGUCAAGGAAGUUAAGUUAGAUAAGUUAGAAAAGUUAAUCAUUCUUUCAAUUCUCAAGUUGUAAAUGUAAACACUUUCCAAUAAUAUAGUGAAACACACCAAAAAUCCACCGUGGAUGUAGAUCUAAUGAUCGAACCACGUAAAUCCUCGAGUCAUUUAUCGUUUUAUAGUUAGAUGUUGAUGUUUGAUUCAUCAACUGGCGCCGUCUAUGGGAAAAUCGAGCUAAAGCGUGAGUAUUUUACUAUUUUUCCACUUACUGUUCAUCGAAAAAAUCCUCCAAUUUUCCAGUUUCCGGUAACAAUGGUGGUUGUUCACUUUUCUUGUCAUAAAACUUUUCCGGCGAAACCCACCAACGAUCGGCUCCCUUUCCGUUUCAAGUCUUCACCCAAUAAAGAAAAGAGUUCUAGGGAAUCCCUUCUCUCAUGGCUAGAAAGAAAAUCCCCAGUUUCUAACAGGAAAUCCGGCAGCCUGCCAUCUCCAACGAUCACCAUCUCCGGUCAGUAACCCCGGAUUCUUCGCGAUUCCUCUUCUCCCUAAAUUCUCCGGCGAAAAUCCACUGCCGGUCAUCUCUAUCGAUCCCCCACAAAUCCAAAUCGAAGCCAUCUGCCACCACUCUCUCUCAGUCCAUGAUAGUUUUCGAAGAUUCCCAAGCUGUGUCCCCAAAAAUCGGAACCCUCAACACAAAUCGCCUCUCUCUCAUAGAAAUCCCGAAAAUCACAUCUCCCUCACUCGAUCCGCUUCGGACGGCGUCGGCUGCUGGCACGCCCAAGUCCAGCGAGGAACCGCUGCCGUUGUUGUUUUGUGAGUCAGCAUGACCAGCGCUCAUCAGCGCGGACGCCGUUGGUGCUGAGCUCCCGGCGAGGAGUACUCAUACAUCUCGCUCUCUCGUUAACUCUCAAGGACGAAUUCUCCCUCACACACAAAGAAAACAGAGGCCAAGACCUAGCCCUCUCUCUACUUAGGCGACACGCCACCAUCGCUGGGCUUCGAUCGUCGUCGCUGCCCCUAUAAGCAUUUGCAAGGCCGUCACAUCGGGAUCCCAAUUUGCUUUCGUCCGAUGGCAACAGAUACGCACAUCACAGCCAAGCAAGCUGCUCUGGCGAUAACCUCUUCGCAACCUCCUGUCUCUCUCUAAGCCUUAGGCUAGCGGCGCUGUCGCGCCCUCUUUGUUCCAACAGAACAGGGCAAUCAGCCCCCUCUAACCAAGAAGCUAAGUUCACAAUCCUUUAGCUAUUUUGCUUUUCCAGUUAUACAAGAUGCUUCGAUUAGAACUAUUUUUACCAUUUUGUUAUGUGAAGAAAUCUGAACCUGCUGCUUAAAAACUAUCAAGUUAUUUCUAUUUGUUAUCUGAUGAUGCUGGAGGUCUAAAAAAAAAUUGUAUAAUGCAUAUGUUGUCUGACAUUUGAUGAUGUGAACCUGAUAAGAUAUACCAAAUCAUUAUGUUCAUCCUUUGGAUCAAAUGGUUUGCCGAGAUAAACUUACUGUAUUCGUUGUCUCACGAUGGUGGUCAGUCAGAUAAAAACUAUAUGGCAGGAUAAAUGUCUCAAUUCUGAUGUUAAGAAAUCGUUAUAAUGAUGAAUCAAAGGAAAAAUAUGGUUGUUGCCCAAUAUGUCAGAUUGUGCAUUGCCUAUUAUCUGCUGUGGUUUUUCUUCCUAAACAUCAGAUAUGUGAACUUAUUUAAUUCCUUGAAGCAAUGCCGCGUCGUCGGCUGACUCUUUCUCUGUUUUUCAGAGGGGGGGAUAGGGGAUAAUUUAUUUGGUUCUUUUUCUCCAAAUUCCCGGUGACUGAGCCGCCAGAUAUCAAAAGUCUCAGUCUCCCUCUCCCUAAGUGGGACUCAUAUUCCAUGCCGGAAACCGGCGAUCGACAAUCGCCCCCCUAAAUAUGGCGGCAUCAGACAUCACUCUUAAUGAAUAAGAUGAGUUAUCUCUAUCUCUCUUAAUUCAAUUUGAUUGAAAUUAAUUGGGGAAAACUAAGGAUAUGUGCCUAUGGUCCUGCAACCCUCUUGAUGUAUGGUUUUAUUAUCUCUUGAGAAUGCCACUGUAAACUGUAUAUGGAAAUGUAUUAUAACUGCAUAUAAGCUGUAUACAAUUAUUUGUAUUUAAUGGUUCAUAUGGACUUGCGGCAUAUUCUAAGAAUUAAAGUUACAGCAGUUGUUGAGAUUGAUAACGAGCUUUUGUUUGAUUUUAGCUAUAAGAGUCCCAUGAUCUAUAAUCUAUGAACUUAUCUAACUAGACUUUGCUAUUCGCAAAUUUAAAGUAUGGAAUUUAUUGCGAGUGAAUUGACAAUAUUUACGAAUUAAUCAAACAUGACAACUUUGGUUCAAUUGUUGGGGGCAAAUGAAUAUGCGCACUAUGAUUGUGAUGAUUAACCUUUUGUUUAUUACCUCCAUCUUGGAGUUACAUCUUAAGAUUUAAGAUGGUGAAAUGUGUGAUUGUAUUACGUAUGCACAGGUUUAUGUGUACUGAAAAAAUGUGAAUUGAAUGAUUAUGAAUCAAAAUUUUACUGAUCUGGAAUCUGUCAUAAGCACAAAUAAUGGAUAUAUGCCUGGUCUGCUCAUUUUAUUAAAAUUUCUGGAUAUGAUUCACAAUGAGGAUACAAUUAAGUUCUUGGGUCUGCUCCAUUUUCUGGGCUAGAUUUUCAGAGCUCGAUUUUAAAGCAUGAUUGAACUCAAUUGAGGAUAUAUUAUGUAUUUGGUUAGUUAAUUGCUUUUGUUUAUUGAUUAAUGCGAGGAUCAUGUGGAGAAGGAUAAAAUAGCCAAAGAAAAAGAGGAUGUUCAGUGACGAACAAGAGGAUGCCAUUUACCGACAAUAAGGAGAAUAUCUCGUGAAGAAAAUGAUUGACCUGUUUGUCAAUGAAGAAGCUGAGUUAUCUCUCUCUCUUAAUCCCAUCUGGUUUUGAAUUAAUUAGGGAAAAAUGCAAAUGGAAAAUUCAUAUGUGAUAAUUGUACUAUUCUUAGGAUGAAUUGUUUAGACAAGAAUUGCAAAAUUUUGAGUAAAAUGUUGGCUGUUGCCCCUAAACUGAGUGAGCUCAAGAUUUUAUUACUUCUUUUCAAUGAAUUGAGGAUGCUCUGAUAUUUGGGUAAGGGGCUAGUUAUUGGUAACAAUAUGUCAUGAUGACAUGAACCUGGAUGCUUAAUAAUGUGGGACUGGUUGUUUCUCUUUGUUGUUUGAUGAUGCGGUUUGUAAAAUAUUGAUGGGGUUGGAAAUAUGCGCGUAUCUGAGAAUAUAUGAACUUUUUGGGGAAGGUCGAAGCACCACAGUUGAAGAGUUUCUGCUCAUUUUGCAAUUUGUUAUACAUGCUUUUUUGGUUGAACCAUAAUAAUGAUAGUUCUCAUUCAACCUGUAUUGUGUCCAUCUCGUGUUGAGUUUAUGCUCUAGUCAUUGCUCAUUGAAUUUUAUAUCAAUACUUCUUGAUGUAUACCUUCACAUGUUGCAAUAAAACCUCCUUGCAAGGAUUUUUACUAGGAGCUUUCAUAUUUUACUAAUAAUCUCUUUGCUUGAGAAUUCUUAUAAGUACAGCUGAAAAAACAAAGCAAAAAUAAAGCGAGGUGCAGAUCUGAGGAAAUAUGUGAAUGAAUUCGAUAAACGCCGUAACAUGAAAUUGUUAACCCACUAAUAAGUGGUAAUUCAGGUACUUCACUGAACUCUAUCAAUAGGAAGAGCAUGAUAAAGAAAUGUUAUACUUUAGCACUUGGGCACAAUUAUGAUUCGUAUGAUCUUUAUUUACAUUAUGAAAUAAUAAUGAUACCCUCUUGGAAGCUGCACAACUUCUGCAUAUGUGCCUAUACUUGAAACAUGAAUUUACUUUAAUACGAAGCUGCACAACUUCUGCAUAUGUGCUAAAAUAUAAAAUGGAUGCAUGGUUUUUGGGAAUUCAACUCUGUUCAUAACAUGUUCAUUCAAUUUCUUCAUAUAUUCAUUCAAUUUCUUCACAUGUUACCAGCGGGGGGAGUAGGGUGUACACCCAAAAUAUGUCUAACGAUAGAGUUAGCUUCACCUCAUCCAAAGAUGAGUAAAAAUAUUGAAAAGAAUGCCCAAUGGCAAGAAUUCAUCUCUACCUCCCCUAAAGAGGAAAAGUUGAAAGGAAAUCUUAGAAAGAAUGCCCAAUGGCAAGAAUUCAUCUCUACCUCCCCUAAAGAGGAAAAGUUGAAAGGAAAUUUUAGAAAGAAUGCCCAAUGGCAAGAAUUCAUCUCUACCUCCCCUAAAGAGGAAAAGUUGAAAGGAAAUUUAGAAAAAAUGCCCAAUGGCAAGAAUUCAUCUCUACCUCCCCUAAAAAGGAAAAGUUGAAAGGAAAUCUUAGAAAGAAUGCCCAAUGGCAAGAGUUGAUUCCACCUCCCCUAAAGAGGAACGAAAAUAUGUUGAAAAAAUGCCCAAUGGCAAAGUUGGCUCCACG